rnacentral:rRNA from 1 species
GAUGAACGCUGGCGGCGUGCCUAAUACAUGCAAGUCGAACGAGGUGCUUUUGUAGCAAUACGAGAGUAUCCUAGUGGCGAACGGGUGAGUAACGCGUUGGUGACCUACCCCAAAGUGUGGGAUAACAGUCCGAAAGGAUUGCUAAUACCGCAUAUGGUCUCUGGGUUUAGAAACCGGUGACUAAAGGAGCAAUUCGCUUUGGGAGGGACCUGCGUCCCAUCAGCUAGUUGGUGAGGUAACGGCUCACCAAGGCGACGACGGGUAGGGGACCUGAGAGGGUGGCCCCCCACAAUGGAACUGAAACACGGUCCAUACACCUACGGGUGGCAGCAGUAGGGAAUAUUGCUCAAUGGGCGAAAGCCUGAAGCAGCAACGCCGCGUGCACGAUGAAGGCCUUCGGGUCGUAAAGUGCUUUUCUGCGAGAUGAGAAAGGACAGUAUCGUAGGAAUAAGUCUCGGCUAACUACGUGCCAGCCGCCGCGGUAACAC